AAAAGUGGGAGGGACUGAGAGGUCUCGUUAGCAGUUUAAUUGCAUAAAGGAGGUCCAUAGAAUUACUAAAAGAAAUUUUGCUGGGCAGCAGUCCCAAUGGCUGGUCACCAGAACUGACGUAAGAUAGUUAUGGGCCACCCAACCACACCAGCUAUGGCCACCAUGAAGCUCCCCAACCUGUGAUGCUGCCAGGGCCCUACCCCAGAUUUUAACUGCAGUCAAACCUGUGGGGUGCAGCUCCUCAUGUCACUCAGAGCAUCCUGAGAUGACUUCAGUUCUACAGAGUCUGACCUACUUUUAAGCCAGGCUGAUUUUGUCUAAGCAGCAGCUGCAUUUGAGGGCAAAGAGAAGUAAAAGCUUCUGAAAUCCAGGUCUGCUUUCCUGAAUAUCACACUCAAACCCCCAGCAAGAUCCAGAGCUACCUGACUUUGGUGUCCUCUCCUUGGCUUCCCUUGCACAUCCCUCCCAAGCACAGGCUGCAGCCUUGGCUUUCACAGCAGAGAAGAAAGGAAAGCAGUCUCUAUUAGUCAUUGCAUCAUUUGCACAGCCGUCAAAUGGGAGAAGUAAUUAACUCAAACGUGUUUAUCUACAGUAAUUAUAAAUUUGCAUUGCUCUCUCUAUCAACAAAGAGGAUUGGGCUCCCAACACUCUCUGAAGUGCUCACAUAGCCAAUGAAUUGCUUUUUUUUGCAUGAGUCCUGGAUCUUUAGAAGAAUCACACUCAGUGCUGGCUCUGUCUAUAUCAUUUCUGUCUCUCAGUCACCCUGCAAUCAAUAGACCCUGCUUUGCUUCCAUACUCCACAUGAAUGAUGGAAAUAGCGGCCCAGAUACCAAACCUUGCUGUGGGAACAGAAGCAGGUGAGGUGCUUCAGUGUGGCAGUGACUGGGAUUAUAUUUGGAUUUUAAGGGAAUUUCAGCAGAGAAAUCCCAGAUUAUCCCUGGGAUUUUCCACUGCAUUGCCAAGAAGUCUUCAAUCUGCAUUGGCUUUUCUUGCAAGACUCCCAUUCGCAGAGUCCCCCUGUCUCACACCACAGGCGGCAAGUGUCACGUAAUACAUUCUGGAUUUGUUUCUGAGCUCGAUUCCUCACCUUAGACUGUGUUGGAGGCUGCUGGGAUGUGGGCUGGCUCUGCGCACCAUGUGUGCCCUCUGGAAAAUGCUCCAGUGAACAAACAUUCAUUAAAAACCAGCAAAUGUGAAUUAUAACUGACUGCGUAAAGGUGCUGGUGAAUUGACGACAUAUGCACACGGUCAGAGCAAAUGAUCUGGAACGCAACAGUGAGAGAUGGAAAUCUCUCUCCCAUCCCAGUCUGACGUGUGUCGGCGUGGUGCUGAGCAGCUGGCUGGGGCAGACCCUUGGAGCUGCUGUCCUGUUGCGUUUUCACCAACACCAACCUUUCACUGCUGACCACAGAGCUGAUUCCAGCAUCCAAGGGAGCUCCAGAAGAGCA